rnacentral:rRNA from 1 species
GUAGGUGGCAAGCGUUGUCCGGAAUUAUUGGGCGUAAAGCGCGCGCAGGCGGUCCUUUAAGUCUGAUGUGAAAGCCCACGGGCUCAACCGUGAGGGUCAUUGGAAACUGGGGACUUGAGUACAGAAGAGGAAAGCGGAAUUCCAAGUGUAGCGGUGAAAUGCGUAGAGAUUUGGAGGAACACCAGUGGCGAAGGCGGCUUUCUGGUCUGUAACUGACGCUGAGGCGCGAAAGCGUGGGGAGCAAACAGGAUUAGAUACCCUGGUAGUCCACGCCGUAAACGAUGAGUGCUAAGUGUUAGGGGGUUUCCGCCCCGUUAGUGCUGCAGCUAACGCAUUAAGCACUCCGCCUGGGGAGUACGGCCGCAAAGGCUG